rnacentral:rRNA from 1 species
CCUACGGGAGGCAGCAGUGAGGAAUAUUGGUCAAUGGACGAAAGUCUGAACCAGCCAAGUAGCGUGCAGGAUGACUGCCCUAUGGGUUGUAAACUUCUUUUAUAUGGGAGUAAAAUGUUCCACGUGUGGGAUUUUGUAUGUACCAUAUGAAUAAGGAUCGGCUAACUCAGUGCCAGCAGCCGCGGUAAUACGGAGGAUCCGAGCGUUAUCCGGAUUUAUUGGGUUUAAAGGGAGCGUAGGUGGAUUGUUAAGUUAGUUGUGAAAGUUUGGGGCUCAACCGUAAAAUUGCAGUUGAAACUGGCAGUCUAGAGUACAGUAGAGGUGGGCGGAAUUCGUGGUGUAGCGGUGAAAUGCGUAGAUAUCACGAAGAACUCCGAUUGCGAAGGCAGCUCACUGGACUGCAACUGACACUGAGGCACGAAAGUGUGGGUAUCAAACAGGAUUAGAUACCCUUGUAGUC